CCUACCUAUGUUCUUGGGCUUAUUUUAUGUUAUUUCUCUUUCUACACUGUUUUCCAGUCAAACUGAACUGUUAGCUAGUCCCUAACACAACAUUCCCAUUCCUGCCUUAACACUUUUCCACUGGUGAUUUCUUUUGUCUGCAAUGCAUUCUCUCCCUAUCUUUAUCUUUUAGAAUAUCUGGCUUCCUUCACUUCUUCAUGAGGUCAUUUUUAUAUCCCCCAUGUUAGUGUGCCCCUCCUUUGAAAUCACUUUGUAUCAAUUCUUUUUUUUAAACCCUUACCUUUCAUCUUAGAAUCAAUAUUGUGUAUGGUUCUAAGGCAGAAGCAUGGUAAGGGUUAGGCAAUGAGGGUUAAGUGACUUGCCCAGGGUCACACAGUGUAGUAAGGGAUUUCUAGCAAGGCAUAACAGGGCAAACGGACAGCAUGAGACCCUGCAGGUCAACAUUCCACACAGAGAACUCCCAGAAGCUGGGACUGAACACAGAGGCAGUUGCAGAGAGCAGUUGGUGAACUCUGGAAGAGAGAGGCUGUUUUUCUCUAGCAGUCAAGAGAGCCCAGGGGUGCUCUCUGUUUUUUUGGGGGGGUGGACCCAGACAGCCAGUGGUUCCUUUUCCUUUGAGCUUCCUUGUUUCCUGCCUAUCCCUAAUACUGGAGCUGGUGCUACUAUUGUGGAGAAGAUUUCAUCUGAGCUGUUACUGGGAAUGCUGCUUGACCCAAAGGAGGACUCCAGUGUUAGUGAAACAAGCAGAACCAAGAGAGUAUUAUAUACAGCAACAGAAAUACUGUUUGAAGAAUAACUUAUGUAAGUCCAUCUCCAGAGGAAAAAAUGAUAAAUGAAACAGUAAGACAGAUUUAUAUAUACAUACAUCUUUUUGUCAAAUGAUACCUUCUCUAGUGCAGGGAAGGGAGAAGGGAAAGGAGAUAUCUGGUAACUUUAUUAUAACAACCAAACAAAUACAUUAAUUUUUUCAAAAGCCAAGUAGGUAGUUGAGUUCUGAGUACACCUCUAUUGGUUUAUUUAUACAACUCUCCGUCUCCCUUUUCAUCAGAAUUGCCUUACUCUUUAUUCUUAAGAGUUUUCCAUCUAAGGAUGUGCUAGGAAAUGUUUAACAAUCAGCUCUCUGAAAAAAAUGUACACAUAACACUUUAAAAUAUAAUCUGCAUUGUUUUUACAUGUAAUUGGUAAAAUUAAAUUAAAAUAUGUAAUCUGUAUUAGUAAGAUUUUCUCCAUCAUUUCCCCCCAUAGAAUCCAAUUGAUUAAAAAGGGGGGGAAAGAGGGUGGUUAAGAAGAACACUGGAAAGGCAACAACAGGUUCAGAAGAGGGGAAAAAAAGGAUCUCAAAGCACAUACAGCUGGAGCUUUAAUAAACAUUAUUAUACCAUUAAGUCCCA
rnacentral:lncRNA from 1 species